rnacentral:misc_RNA from 1 species
GAUGAAGAACGUAGCGAAAUGCGAUAAGUAAUGUGAAUUGCAGAAUUCAGUGAAUCAUCGAAUCUUUGAACGCACAUUGCGCCCCCCAGUAUUCUGGUGGGCAUGCCUGUUCGAGCGUCAUUUCAACCAUCAAGCCCUGCUUGUGUUGGGGUCCUGCGGCUGCCCGCAGGCCCUGAAAACCAGUGGCGGGCUCGCUAGUCACACCGAGCGCAGUAGCACAUCUCGCUCAGGGCGUGCGGCGGGCUCCAGCCGUUAAAGCACCCACCUUUCGCAAGGUUGACCUCGGAUCAGGUAGGAAUACCCGCUGAACUUAAGCAUAUCAAUAAGCGGAGGA